ensembl:lncRNA
GGCUGAAUUGAGAGAAUAGUUUAUUGCCAAUUCAACUGGAACACAGAGUGUAUGAAGAGUAAUGUGCAAUAUCUAGUAAGGUAGGCUGGGGUCACAUUGUGAAGUGCUUUCAGUAACAAGCUAGGAAGUUUGUAUUUUAUCCUAGAGGCAUUACAGAGUUAUUGAAGAUUUCCGAAAUAGCAGAGUGACAUAAUCAAUGCUUAGGAAAAUUAUUUUGUUAUUUGUGGAGAGGGGGAAGACUAGAAGCCAGGAGUCUGAUACAGACUAUAUAUCGUCCAGACGAAGAGGUGAUUAGAACUUGAACUGGAUCAGUGGUGUAAGUGAAGAUUUUGAGAAGUGACAAAUGCAUCUGCCAAGAGAAAAGGAGCUCAAAACUGUGUGAAAUACCAAUCAACUGAGAUGAGGAGAAAGUUCCAUGGAAUCUUGGGAAAAAGCAGUUAAGCAGCUUGAGCUGGCUGAAGGGAAUUCCUUCUCUGGCUGUUGAACCAGAAGGUGGAAGAUAAACUCCCUCUCUAUCAUCCGCCUUAUCCAUAAGACUGUGUGCUGAAAAGACUUUUGGGUUUUUAGCCCAGAAGAAACCUGUCACCAUUGCUGUCACAUCUCCUCUUAGGGAAAAAUAACUUUGUUUCCUGAAUUUGAAUAUAUCUUGAAAUCUUCAAUCAACAAGGAUAACUUAGAAAAUUUAGGGAGACCUAUUUUUCUCUCACCCCUGCCCUCUCCUUACCUCCUCUACCCAAAGAAUAAAAGAUCUCUUAGUUUAAAGGAUUUAAUUGUGGGAUUUAGUUAUUAGGGGAAAUCUUCAAGCUUGCCCUCUCUGAGAAGAAUAUUUCUAAGAUAGUUGAAAGGGAACAGGGUCUAAAGCUGUGCCUGUCCUGAUUGAUCCAAGAGAUGUUGCAGAGAUAGAAUGGACGAAACUGAUUAAAUAUAACAAGAACAGAGAAAAAGAAAGAAAACAACAGUGGGCAGGAAAAAAAUUUUGGAGACACCCAAGGUAUGAGGAUUGCCUGUCUCCUCCUUUUCCUCUACACACUGAACUUACGCUCCUGCCUGGCUGCUCAAGAAAAGGAGUGCCUGGCUGGUUGUGGGACAAGGAAGCAAAGGUAACAAAAGCCAUUGUUUUCAGUGGUGGUUUCCAAGCCUCUUGGAGACCCUUGAGGCUUGGUGGGGCUGCAGAAACUUGAGUUACACAAAGGGCUGGGUUCGAUGAUCAGACCAAACCUUAGUCUGGGAAUGACUCAGGUGGCAGGACUCUGGGCCCAACCUAUCAGCCUUUGCCAAGAGGGCUUGCUUAAUUCACAAACUCUAGAAUGGAAGGAUCAAUGGAGGCCAAUCUCUUGACUGUCCCGACAUUGACAGUUCUGAUCAUGAACAUCUUCUCUCUCCUACUCCCAAGUUCCAAUUCAAAGCAUUCCAUAUGGGCAGGAGGGAGAGAGGGAUAGGCUAGGGUGGGAUCACCCUAAGCACAAUCAGGGCAUCUGCCCAGUGACUUCCCAGGAGGACCUCUACUUUGUUUCUUUUUGAAGUUUUCUGGGUACCUUUUGUUUUUACAUCACCACCAUUUCUGGAUGAGGCUCCAUUUGUAACAGAAAUGGCUAUUAAAAUUCCAAACAGU